UCCAUAUCUAGUUGAUUAAAAUAUUUAUAAAGACACAGGUUACUUAUCUCAAAACCUGAGAAAGGUCAGAAAUGACAGACGAGACAGUGGGGUGGAAUGAAUCUGGGUCACAGAUUGCGAUCCAAGGAGAAGGAGGGAGAAGAGGAGGGUGGGGACGCUUGGCAGUGUACGGGAGAGGAGGCCCAGGACCGAGGUGGCUUAGGUGCCUGUCCACAGGCUGGAGGUGGAGGUGAAUUCAGGUCAGGUGCACGGCUUGGGGGUGGGGCGGGCCCAGAAAAUACCCGUGAGCAGAACAAAGCUGACCGAGGAGGGUCAGGGGAAGAUGGAGGACGCAAGGAGGAGCAGCUGGGGGAAAGACCUGAGCAGGACGGUGCUGAGCUCGCCUUGAUUAGAUGACUGUGGAGAAACGGUUACAGCACAAGAGAGGAGCAUGGGAUCCGGAGCCUCCCGAACUUGGAUUAAAAUCCUAGCUCUGUAGAGAAAAUGUGGUGUAUGCAUACAAUGGAAUAUUGCGGAGCCUUAAGAAGAAAGGAAAUUCUGACUCAUGCUACAACACGGAUGGAUCUUGAGGUCAUUAUGCUAAGUGAAACUAGUCAGUCACAGAAAGGAAAAUGCUAGGUAUUCCAUGGCUUGUCCCCACCUUGAGUGACAGCAUGGUGAAGGGGAUAGAGCAAGGGGCUUUGGCAUCAAGGCCGCAGUGAGAAUGGAAUAACGCAAUGGAGACGUGCAGGUGAUGACAGGUAUUGGCUGGAGUCAGGAGGAGAGGGAAGACGAUCGUUUCCACAAGUCACUGUGAAGCCAGAUACGUCUUGAUCUUUCGAAGCUGCUGAUAAUUCUGCCCACAGGUAUUCGUAGGAACCCAAGGACAAACAGCAAGACAAUUCGCUGGACUUGGGGCCACAAGGCAGGUGUAUUGAAGGGAAUGGGUCAUGGGUGGAACAUACUUAGACCUACUUAGUGGGGUGAGAGGAAAAGAACCUUUCUGAUGCUAGAGAUUCCAGGGGAGGAAGGGAGGUUUCCGAGGUCGUCUCUGUGGCAGGAGGACAUUUGUGGAGUGUAGGGGGAGGACACAGGUGCAGCCUGAGAGCGAACGCAACCAGAGCAAUCCCACACCCGAUGAGGGGUGCAUUUAUAUUGGGGUCCCACGUCUGACAACCCCAGGAAGUGGCCCUUUGCCCGUUCAUCAUAAAGUGAACCCUGUGGGGAGUGGAAGAUGAGUUUAGAACAGUGUCGGCCCAGCAGGCCUCAGGAGACGUUGCUGACUGACUGCAUUGAUCUAACUCCAGGAGAGGGGAGCUCCCGCAUUUUGGGGGGCCCUAUGCCCCACACAGUCUGUGAAGAGGGUGCAUUUAUACCUAUUGUCCUAAAUGAACUAGAGGCAAAGGAGCCGAGUGACGACCCUGAAAAGUGGGCUGGCAUUUGCAGCUACAUGGAUGGACCUAGAGAUUAUCAUACUAAGCGAAGUAAGUCAGACAAAUACCAUAUGAUAUCACUUAUAUGUGGAAUCUAAAAUAUGACACAAACGAACUUAUCUACAAGGCAGAAACAGACUCACAGACAUAGAGAACAGACUUGUGGUUGCAAAGAGGGAGGGGGCAUGGGGGGGAUGGAGUGGGAGUUUGGGAUUAGCAGAUGCAAACUAUUAUAUUGAUAUGUAAGAUGGAUAAACAACAAGAUCCUACUGUAGAGCAAGGGAACUAUAUUCAAUAUCCUGUAAUAAACCAUAAUGGAAAAGAAAAAAAGAGUGGGCUGGGACAUUUUCGACAGCCCCAAAGGUCCUGGAGACAGAAGGGGAUGUUCUUGGUACCUCUUGGAAGGAGAAAUGGCCAGUGAUUAGAUGCAAAGGAGAGGUUUUGGAAUAAAAUGGAUGUCCCUCCAAAUAACCUACCAGUGAAGAUUCUCUGGUCAGGUCCUCACAGAAGCAUUUCUAGGUAACUGUCACCCGUGCCAGGAAGGAAGACAGGAAGCAUGACUGUGACCAUUUCCACGGCUCCCUCAAGCAUCCCCGACCACACACCUGGUCAUCUUUGGUACGCGGGCCUCUCUCUGCUGUGGCCUCUCCCGUUGCGGAGCACAGGCUCCAGACGCGCAGGCUCAGCGGCCAUGGCUCACUGGCCCAGCUGCUCCGCGGCAUGUGGGAUCUUCCCGGACCGGGGCACGAACCUGCGUCCCCUGCAUCGGCAGGCGGACUCUCCACCACUGCGCCACCAGGGAAGCCUGGAAAUGACUUCUUAUUACUACAUUGUGUUAAAAGCUCACUCUAUGAAGUUACUUUCAUACCAGAUAAAGCCAGUAUCCUCUACUCACUAGUAGUGUCUGGUACUGCACUAGAUGUUUUGUGCGGAUUCAUUUGGCAUGACUGUUAUGGAGAUUGGAUGCGAUGACCUCUCCAUUUUACAGAUGAACAAACUGACGUUCAGUGAGAUCAAGUAACUGGGCCAAGGUUAACGGCAGAGACAAGCCAUGAAAACAAAGCAGUAGGAUGCUGAAGGCUUCGCUCCUGACCGCCGUACCGUAAACGCCCCCUCCUCCUAGCCCAUCACGGUGGCAGCCGAAGGCAGGCACAGACUGAAGCUCAAAUUUGAGUUAGAUUUGAUCCCAAAUCAGUGUAUUUUGAAAUCAGAUGACAGCAACUGGCCCAUGUUUUUCUCCUGGAUUGGGAUCAAUCCAGACUUGAGUAUAAGGACCAACUACGGUGGGAGGAAAGUCUUUGACAAGGAAUCCAUGUCCCACGAGGCUCAAAAGUGACUGAGGGCAGUGCGCCUCCCUAGGAGGGGGCCUGGCGAUAAAAGGAAGUUGUGUCUAACAAGGGAACGUCUGGAAUUUUUCAUGAAAAAUGGCAGCCCACCCCUGGAAAAACUGUGUCACGUUCCAUCUCUCCAAGACACAGAUGAGAUGCUCAGUGCUCCCGCUGAAACAAGUAGUGACGGGAAUUCUGGCGGCAGGAAGAACAGCAGCGUCCGCCGCAGAGAUCAAGAUAUGCCUUCAAAAACAACAGGUCGUGUCAUGAUUCAUUCACUUGCAACGUGAAGGACACACAGGGAUGUUUUGGCUGUUAAUGCCUGGCCUCACCAUCCAGGUCCUACAGUGGGAACUCAUCAGAUAGCUCUGUGUGGCCUCUCACACUUUCGCAACCCUCUUCCAGGGAUAUAUGGAACUCGUCAUGAUGACAAACUCAAGGCCUGCUAAGGGUGGCA